rnacentral:rRNA from 1 species
UGGUUUUGAAAAGACCCUAUGAACGGCGGCUGUAACUAUGACAGUCCUAAGGUAGCGAAAUUCAUUGUCGAGUAAGUUUCGACCUGCACGAAAGGCGUAACGAUCUGGGCGCUGUCUCAGAGAGAGACUCGGUGAAAUAGACUUGUCCGUGAAGAUGCGGACUACUAACAUCAUUGUGACAGGAAAGACCCUAUGAAGCUUGACUGUGAUUCUGGAAUGGAAUUCGGGCUUUUCUUGCGCAGUCUAGGUGGGAGGCGUUGAAGAUUUCCUUCCGGGGAAAUUGGAGCCAUCAGUGAGAGACCACUCUGGGAAGGCUAGAAUUCUAAUGGCGAUCCUUGAAUCAGGACGCUUGACAGUUUCAGAUGGGCAGUUUUUCUGGGGCGGAAACCUCCUAAAAGGUAACGGAGGUGCGCAAUGGUUCCCUCAGUCUGGACGGAAAUCAGACAUUGAGUGUAAAGGCAAAAGGGAGCUUGACUGUGAGACCUACAAGUCAAACAGGGGCGAAAGCCGGCCUUAGUGAUCCGACGGUGCUGUGUGGAAAGGCCGUCGUUUCAAACCCGUAAAAGUUACUCUAGGGAUAACAGGCUGAA